CCCCCUGUCUGCUGCUGCACACACGCACCCUGUGUACUGUGUCAAUGUGGUGGGCACACAGAAUGCACACAACCUGAUCAGCAUUUCCACUGAUGGCAAGAUGUGCUCCUGGAGCCUUGACAUGCUGUCCCAGCCGCAGGACAGCCUGGAACUGGUGUUCAAGCAGUCCAAAGCUGUGGCGUCACCUCCAUGUCCUUUCCC